rnacentral:rRNA from 1 species
UACGUAGGGUGCGAGCGUUGUCCGGAAUUACUGGGCGUAAAGAGCUCGUAGGUGGUUUGUCGCGUUGUUCGUGAAAACUCACAGCUCAACUGUGGGCGUGCGGGCGAUACGGGCAGACUGGAGUACUGCAGGGGAGACUGGAAUUCCUGGUGUAGCGGUGGAAUGCGCAGAUAUCAGGAGGAACACCGGUGGCGAAGGCGGGGUCUCUGGG